rnacentral:rRNA from 1 species
AGGGGGAAAGAUUUAUCGUUGUCAGAUGAGUUUGCAUGGGAUUAGCUAGUUGGUGAGGUAAUGGCUCACCAAGGCAAUGAUCUCUAGCCGACCUGAGAGGGUGAUCGGCCACAUUGGGACUGAGAUACGGCCCAGACUCCUACGGGAGGCAGCAGUGGGGAAUAUUGGACAAUGGGCGCAAGCCUGAUCCAGCUAUGUCGCGUGAAUGAUGAAGGUCUUAUGGAUUGUAAAGUUCUUUCAGUGGGGAUGAUAAUGACAGUACCCACAUAAGAAGCCCCGGCUAACUCCGUGCCAGCAGCCGCGGUAAUACGGAGGGGGCUAGCGUUAUUCGGAAUGAUUGGGCGUAAAGGGCGCGUAGGCGGCUUUGUAAGUCUUUAGUGAAAUCCCCGAGCUUAACUUGGGAAUGGCUAAAGAUACUGCAAAGCUAGAGUGUGGGAGGGGGCAGUGGAAUCCUUGGUGUAGAGGUGAAAUUCUUAGAUAUCAGGGAGAACGUCGGUGGCGAAAGCGACUGCCUAGAACACAACUGACGCUGAGGCGCGAAAGCGUGGGGAGCAAAUCGGAUUAGAUACCCGAGUAGUCCACGCAGUAAACGAUGAGUACUAGGAGGUGGUUCAGGCCACUUCCGCAGCUAACGCAUUAAGUACUCCGCCUGAGGAUUACGGUCGCAAGAUUAAAACUCAAGGGAAUUGACGGGGACCCGCACAAGCGGUGGAGCAUGUUGUUUAAUUCGAUGCUACGCGAAAAACCUUACCACUUCUUGACAUGCUUGUUUUAUAGAUACGAGAGUAUCUUGUGUUAUCAGCAAUGAUAACGGCAAGCACAAGUGUUGCAUGGCUGUCGUCAGCUCGUGUCGUGAGAUGUUGGGUUAAGUCCCGCAACGAGCGCAACCCUUAUCUUUAUUUGCCAGCACGUAAUGGUGGGAACUAUAAAGAGACUGCCGGCCUUAAGCCGGAGGAAGGUGGGGACGAUGUCAAGUCAUCAUGGCCUUUAUGAAGUGGGCUACAAACGUGCUACAAUGGCGAUUACAACGAGACGCAAUAUCGUGAGAUGGAGCAAAUCUAAAAAAAUCGCCUCAGUUCGGAUCGCACUCUGCAACUCGAGUGCGUGAAGUCGGAAUCGCUAGUAAUCGCGGAUCAGAAUGCCGCGGUGAAUACGUUCUCGGGUCUUGUACACACUGCCCGUCACAUCACGGAAAUCGGUUUUGCCUGAAGUAUGCACGCCAACCAGCAAUGGAGGCAGCAUCCUAUGGCAGGACUGGUGACUGGGGUUAAGUCGUAACAAGGUA